UAGGGAAUCUUCCGCAAUGGACGCAAGUCUGACGGAGCAACGCCGCGUGAGUGAAGAAGGAUUUCGGUUCGUAAAACUCUGUUGUUAGAGAAGAACAGCGCAUAGAGUAACUGUUAUGCGUGUGACGGUAUCUAACCAGAAAGCCACGGCUAACUACGUGCCAGCAGCCGCGGUAAUACGUAGGUGGCAAGCGUUGUCCGGAUUUAUUGGGCGUAAAGCGAGCGCAGGCGGUCAAUUAAGUCUGAUGCGAAAGCCCCCGGCUCAACCGGGGAGGGUCAUUGGAAACUGGUUGACUUGAGUGCAGAAGAGGAGAGUGGAAUUCCAUGUGUAGCGGUGAAAUGCGUAGAUAUAUGGAGGAACACCAGUGGCGAAGGCGACUCUCUGGUCUGUAACUGACGCUGAGGCUCGAAAGCGUGGGUAGCAAACAGG
rnacentral:rRNA from 1 species